AUGCAAAUGUACUGCACCACCUGACAGCUUUCAACAACGUCGUGUUUUCAUCACCAACAACUGAUUGACUGAAAUGUUUACCAUCUGUCUGAUCUUCCACUAUGAAAAUCACUUUUUAAUGAGACAUUAGAAAAUGAUACAGGUUAACAAAUAGCCUUUUCUGUGUUGUGUCGCCCACAGCCAAAGUGAUCACAACCAAGUUCGAAAACCAAACAUUAGUAGUACUACAACCUGUGCUAUAAGUCUAUUAAGACUCUGAAUGACGCCUUCAGCAGUGUGACAAACAGUGAAAUUGUAUUUACACUGCUGUUUUCCAUGAUCACUUGAAAGCAAUAUUGCAUUAAAAGAGAAGUAUGUUGAUGGCCAUACCGUUAACUUCCACAUAUUCUUCUUAAUCAUUAAGCAGCCUUAAUGAGAUAUGAGAGCAGGAGCACCUCUCGAAAUCACACUUCCCAGAAGUUACCCUAGCCUGGUUAAGAAUCAAGCAAAGGACUGACGCCGGUUAUCACCUCCAGGUUUGGAGUUUUGAGCUUAGGCUGUUUGUAGUGAGUUGGUGGGUUCUUGGUGACGAAGGAAUGAUCAUGAUUUGAUGGGAAUCCUGAAAGUGUUGCUGACCGACAACCAGCUCAUCCGGUCAACAUUUUGUCUUGUGGAUGCAUUUGUGCCACCCAGCAUCAAUCCUACCUAUCACCACGCUACUACAAUACUUCAUGACACUUCUUUCUUUAGCAUAGGAAAUUUAUCUCAACAUGUGGAGUAAUGCUGUUGGUUGCUGUGAAUUUCAUUUUUACGGUUUUUUCAUCAUGAGCAUUUCAGUGUGCUUCUUAGAAAAGAGCACGCAGUUUCUUUAUGGAAUCGUGUGGUCCUGGCACGGAGAUUCUUGUACCAAUCCUGACCCUUGUCCAUGAUGGAAGAGGGACUUCCGCCAACGUUCUUUUUCCAUCCUUAUCUUCGCUACGCACGCUCAUCUAGCUUCACUUCUUCCAAACACAAUUUGUUUUACUUCACUGGUGACUUGGCGAGUUUCUGGACCACUUCAGUGAUCGCUUCCGUGCCGCUAUUACACACCUGCAGUCACUCGCCACGGGAUUAUGCCUAGGUAAUGCAGAGAUGUUGCCUAGAUGAACACUAAAAGAUUGACGGCAGCCCUAAAAUGUCAGCGUUGAUCAUCGUAUUGUUUGUAUUAUUGCGUUUAUGUUAGUUAACCCGUUGUCUGCCAGGCUUUUGUUCUCCCCUAGCUCCUUAGUGCAUUGGCCACGCCGAAAGGCUCUGUUGGGAAACGCACCAUAGGGACUUCCCCCUUGUCAGCCCGGACUUGUCAGCAAUGGCAAGUCCCACCUUGGUCAUGGAUCCUUCGGACGUGGCGCGUAGAGUAGUAGAAAAUAACCUAAGAGUUGUAUAGCGUGGCAGUCAACGGGUUAAUUUAAGUGUAUGUGUAAUUGUUUGUAUAUUAUGUUGUGUGUAAUGUAUGAUUGUA